GGUAUGAUUGCCAAUGAGACAACUCUCUAGAAGAGACUAAAAUGACACAGAAAUUAACAACUAUAGGUCACCGUACGGCUUUCAAUAAUGAGCAAAGCCAAUAUCGCAUAAUCAGCUAUAAAAGGCCCCGAAAUGACAAUGUAAAACAAUUCAAACGAGAAUUAUUUAGUUCCUCACAUGCAAAAUAAAUAAUCUUCGCCGAUGUAAUAUUUCAAUUUAUUACAACAACAUGCCUUCACUGAAUUCAUUCAGGUGCACAAAUGAUACGAUUAAAGUUAUUUUGUUUCCGUAUAUAUUAUAUUCAUCCGUAUAAAAGUGGCACAUGUAUUUUAUUUUAUCCGUAUAUCUCAUCGUGCCGGGUACAAGAUAAUUGAGUUGCUGCAUGCAUAAAGAACUUAGAAUAUUACUUAAUACAAAAUAUCAGUAUAAUAUUUCGACCCCACUAUUUGAAGUUAACAAACAUUUAUUUAAUUCUUUUGACCAAAGGUUUGUAAACUAUACAAAUCAUUAAUUUUACGUUCGUAGUAACAUAGUAAAUUCCAUUGUCGGUCACCUGUGUCAAUUCACGUGCACACCGACUACAUUGCUGUAGUUGUAUUUGAAUCUUUCGGCCAAUGAAAUGAGACGUUACAAGUUAUUU
rnacentral:lncRNA from 1 species